AUCAGAUUGAAACACUAGUUCCCGUAUUAUCACCGAAGUUAAGCAACAACGAGCCUGGUCAAUACCUAGAUGGGUGACUGCUUCGGAAUGCUAGGUGCUAUA
rnacentral:rRNA from 1 species